rnacentral:rRNA from 1 species
GAUGAACGCUAGCGGCAGGCUUAAUACAUGCAAGUCGAACGGUAAGGUCUCUUCGGAGAUACACGAGUGGCGCACGGGUGCGUAACGCGUAUGCAACCUACCUUUAACUGGGAAAUAGCCCCGAGAAAUCGGGAUUAAUGUCCCAUAUUAUUCUGAGAAUGCAUAUUCUUAGAAUGAAAGCUCCGGCGGUUAUUGAUGGGCAUGCGUGACAUUAGCUAGUUGGUGAGGUAACGGCUCACCAAGGCUACGAUGUCUAGGGGUUCUGAGAGGAUUUUUCCCCCACACUGGUACUGAGACACGGACCAGACUCCUACGGGUGGCUG